rnacentral:lncRNA from 1 species
GAUAUUAGGAAAGCAGUUCCAUUUCCAAAAGCAUCAAAAAUAAUAAAAUAGAAAAGGCUGUAAACUGAAAACUACAAACAUUACUGAAAAAACCUAAUUUAAAUAAGUGAAAGGGCAGCCAUGUUCAUGGAUUGGAUGACAAUACUGUGCAGGAAAAUAAUGAAACCCAAACCAUCAGGAACGGUAUCACUUGAGCAGAGCAUAGGUGCAAGUAGCAUCCGUGUUAUAUGCAGAAACAUUCACCUUGACCCCAGGGGGGAUCUGGGCUGAGACCAGAUGACUGAAAUCUCUGGGCGAUGGUGAACACAGAAUUGGGGGACAGCAGAUAUGAAGACGCACUGAGCCACAUGCCGGAUGCCCCAAGCGCAGAGAGAGCUUGUGAGCUUCUAGCGGUGGAGACUUGACACACUGCGGGAGAGGAAAAUGAAGUUACUGGACCCACUGAAACGGGACUCAUUGAUCCUCUAGCCCAUGGUGGGCAGUGUGCAUCAGCGUGGUCCUUCAGAUUUUUAGAUGCUCCUUCUCUUCAAAUUUCGCGCUCAUCAAAGUACAUAUUUUUCUGCACUGUAUCAAAG